rnacentral:rRNA from 1 species
CAGUAGCCGCGGGAAUACGUAGGUGGCAAGCGUUGUCCGGAAUUAUUGGGCGUAAAGGGCUCGCAGGCGGUUUCUUAAGUCUGAUGUGAAAGCCCCCGGCUCAACCGGGGAGGGUCAUUGGAAACUGGGAAACUUGAGUGCAGGAGAGGAGAGUGGAAUUCCACGUGUAGCGGUGAAAUGCGUAGAGAUGUGGAGGAACACCAGUGGCGAAGGCGACUCUCUGGUCUGUAACUGACACUGAGGAGCGAAAGCGUGGGGAGCGAACAGGAUUAGAUACCCCAGUAGUCCCUGUCUCUUAUAC